UGAGCAAUCUGCCCUUCUCUUCGGAAUAAGCGUGGGAAACCGCGUCUAAUGCCGAAUACGACCUCCUUUCGCAUGAUCGGAGGUGGAAAGCUUCGGCGGAGAAGGAUGAGCUCGCGGCCUAUCAGCUAGUUGGUGUGGGUAAUGGCUCACCAAGGCUACGAUCAGUAGCUGGUCUGAGAGGGUGACCGGCCACACGUGGGACUGAGACACGGCCCAGAUCCGUAACGGGG
rnacentral:rRNA from 1 species